AUUUUCAGGACAAUUUUCCCACUGGACCACAACAAAACGAGACUGUGGGGGAACACGUACUGUUUUUGCAGUGAGUGCACUUUACUGCGCAGAAGUUUGAUCAUGAUGGAAAACCAUCAGCCCAUUGCUCAAGGCGACCCGUCACUCCACAGACCAGUGCCAAAUCAAACAGUCCCAGGUCAAAGGUCAAACCCUCGGCCGCUGGGACAUCCCAUGCGCUUCGGCAAAGCAUAAUGAGCUCGUAUGACAGAGUUUGAUGUAAUCCGGGGAAAAGAGCGAAUCCCAGUCCAGAUCUGUCCUCGAUCGGACACCUGUGAGAUCUUCUGCUCCAAAACACACACAUCCAGUCGCCCGCGCACCGCUUUACUGCCAAGACACACAGUUUUAAGCAACAUGGAGGUCUGGAGGUUUGUCCCCCGAGGGCUGGAGGGAUACGUGACUGAGCGCAUGCAGCCGCGGAGACGAGGGGCGUCACUGAGAACCUUAGCACUGACGAGACCUCCAGUUACUGCACACUGGGAUUGAGCAACUUCAAGUGGACAAUAGUUCCUCUAUGGAGGACGAGCGCUCGCUAAACCUUCAGAAAUAUCAUCAGUUUGAUGCCACUGAGACAGCAUUAUCAGCAUUAACUCAUGCAGUUCAUGUUUAAUUGAUGUAGUGGCUAUUGUUUGUGUGCCACUUUGAUUCUACUUAACUUCCAUCUCUGGACUCACAAUUUCUUUCAACACUGAGACCGGAGAGCUGUUGGUCAAUAAAUGCACUGUAAAAAA